GGGUAGUGUGUGUGCCAGUGGGUACUGUGACCCAGCCAAGCUUGGAACGCUGCCAGAUUUGGCUCCGCCUCCAGACCUGGCCCAGACUCAUGCCUAUAGGUGCUGCAGCCUUGCGUGGCUCAACCCACCCCCAGUCCCAGCUCUAGCAAGAAGGUAAAUGUUUUUUUUUAAAGGAUUAAUAACCUCAAAUAAAUACUCUUGUAAUAAACUUUUAUGAUCACUAGGAAAAGACAAACAUACAAAUGGUCCAAGGUCAUGAAGAGAUAAAUGCAAUUGAGCACAUCAACAAGAUUUUAGCUUCAAAGAAAUGCAAGAUGGAAAAGUAGAAUUUUUUUUUUCACCUGUAGAACUGAUGAAGUUCAAUGAAACUGCUGAUGAGGAUGAGAUAAAUUGUCAUUCACUGCCAGCUGAAGUGUAGGCCCAGGAGAUCUCUCACAGGUGUUGCAUAUGCUCUUGCCUCACAGCUCGGCAUUAUUUGUGCUGUCAGUUCACUUGUGAGCUAACUGAAUCCCAGGGUGCCCAGGGUCACAGGUCUGAGGGCUUGUUUUCUUUCUUUGUGAGGAAAGAAGAUUGUGACAACGAAGUGCCUUGAUUUGCAAAGGGAAUUCAAAAAGUCCACGAAAUGUAAAAUCGAUGAUAAGUUCUUACAAUAUAAAACAUUUCCUAAAUCCACGCACAAGUAUUUCACAAUCUGCAUUUCCACGAACUUUUCUGCAGACCCCAUGCCAUAUAUGAUCAAAUGUUCUACAGAAUUGUUUUCUGACCUGGUGGACUCCAGCAACGUGAAGGGGACAGAGAACACAGAAGGCUAAUCCAUGGCCUGUGCAAGACCCAGCCAAUGCUAGUCAUACCUGCUCAGGCCACAGAUGAGAGAUCAGCAGCCCAGAGCCAUCUUCCUUUGCCUCACUUCCUGUACACUCUGAUGGCAAACAACCUGAUUUAGACUAGAUGGCAUGA